rnacentral:rRNA from 1 species
AGGGCACCACCAGGAGUGGAGCCUGCGGCUUAAUUUGACUCAACACGGGGAAACUCACCCGGCCAGGACACGAUAAGGAUUGACAGACUGAUAGCUCUUUCUUGAUUUUGUGGGUGGUGGUGCAUGGCCGUUCUUAGUUGGUGGAGCGAUUUGUCUGGUUAAUUCCGAUAACGAACGAGACUCUAGCCUAUUAAAUAGACGAUAUAUUAUUAGUUUAUCGAGCUUCUUAGAGGGACAGGCAGCUUCUAGCUGCACGAGAUUGAGCAAUAACAGGUCUGUGAUGCCCUUAGAUGUCCGGGGCUGCACGCGCGCUACAAUGAUAAUAGCAGCGUGCAUUAAAACCUUUUCUGGUAAGAAUUGGUAAACACGAAAUAUUGUCGUGCUUGGGAUAGGGGAUUGAAAUUAUUGCCCUUAAACGAGGAAUUCCCAGUAAGUGCGAGUCAUUAGCUUGCGUUGAUUACGUCCCUGCCCUUUGUACACACCGCCCGUCGCUACUACCGAUUGGAAGAUUUAGUGAAU